ACUUUGAACUUCUACAUUCCUGGUAAUGGGAUAUCUAACCCUGGAGAGUGCUGUGUCUGUUUAACUGGACUUAUCUGCAAAGUCCAGUUAAGAAAAGUCUUGCUAACUGUGGAUUUAAGUCUAAAAGGCGGGAAGGAUUCACUUGAACCACCUUACAGAGGAGGAGAUUUAGGCAUAGUGAGGUGGUGAAGCACAGCCACGCCUUCAUCAGUGACCCUGGGAUCCAAUGCUAACAUGAUGAAGCGUUUUCAGACAUUUUCAGGACUCAUCCUUAUUCCACC